AGAGUUUGAUCAUGGCUCAGGAUGAACGCUGGCGGCGUGCUUAACACAUGCAAGUCGAACGGAACUCUUUGGAACGAGGCUUCGGCCAAGUGAAUCUGAGUUUAGUGGCGGACGGGUGAGUAACGCGUGAGGAACCUGCCUUUCAGAGGGGAAUAACAGUUGGAAACGACUGCUAAUACCGCAUAACGCAUAGAGGCCGCAUGACCUUUAUGCCAAAGAUUUUAUCGCUGAGAGAUGGCCUCGCGUCUGAUUAGCUAGUUGGCGGGGUAACGGCCCACCAAGGCGACGAUCAGUAGCCGGACUGAGAGGUUGGCCGGCCACAUUGGGACUGAGAUACGGCCCAGACUCCUACGGGAGGCAGCAGUGGGGAAUAUUGGGCAAUGGGCGCAAGCCUGACCCAGCAACGCCGCGUGAAGGAAGAAGGUCUUCGGAUUGUAAACUUCUUUUAACAGGGACGAUAAUGACGGUACCUGUUGAAUAAGCUCCGGCUAACUACGUGCCAGCAGCCGCGGUAAUACGUAGGGAGCGAGCGUUAUCCGGAUUUACUGGGUGUAAAGGGCGUGUAGGCGGGAUUGCAAGUCAGAUGUGAAAACUCCGGGCUCAACUCGGAGCCUGCAUUUGAAACUGUAGUUCUUGAGUGAUGGAGAGGCAAGCGGAAUUCCUAGUGUAGCGGUGAAUGCGUAGAUAUUAGGAGGAACACCAGUGGCGAAGGCGGCUUGCUGGACAUUAACUGACGCUAAGGGCGCGAAAGCGUGGGGAGCAAACAGGGAUUAGAUACCCUGGUAGUCCACGCCGUAAAC
rnacentral:rRNA from 1 species